UCAUGCUCCAGCAGGAUGUGUGCAGUACCCUACUUCACAGAAUCUCGAUCAUGUCUAAAUAAAUAUGAUCGAAUCCUAUGAAGUAGAGUAAUGCAUGACACAUACAACAAAGGCUGU
rnacentral:precursor_RNA from 13 species